AUGCAGUCGAGCGGAUGAAGGAGCUUGCUCCUGGAUUCAGCGGCGGACGGGUGAGUAAUGCCUAGGAAUCUGCCUGGUAGUGGGGGAUAACGUUCCGAAAGGAACGCUAAUACCGCAUACGUCCUACGGGAGAAAGCAGGGGACCUUCGGGCCUUGCGCUAUCAGAUGAGCCUAGGUCGGAUUAGCUAGUUGGUGAGGUAAUGGCUCACCAAGGCGACGAUCCGUAACUGGUCUGAGAGGAUGAUCAGUCACACUGGAACUGAGACACGGUCCAGACUCCUACGGGAGGCAGCAGUGGGGAAUAUUGGACAAUGGGCGAAAGCCUGAUCCAGCCAUGCCGCGUGUGUGAAGAAGGUCUUCGGAUUGUAAAGCACUUUAAGUUGGGAGGAAGGGCUGUA
rnacentral:rRNA from 1 species